GACGAACGCUGGCGGCGUGCCUAAUACAUGCAAGUAGAACGCUGAAGAGAGGAGCUUACUCUUCUUGGAUGAGUUGCGAACGGGUGAGUAACGCGUAGGUAACCUGCCUUGUAGCGGGGGAUAACUAUUGGAAACGAUAGCUAAUACCGCAUAACAAUGGAUGACACAUGUCAUUUAUUUGAAAGGGGCAAUUGCUCCACUACAAGAUGGACCUGCGUUGUAUUAGCUAGUAGGUGAGGUAAUGGCUCACCUAGGCGACGAUACAUAGCCGACCUGAGAGGGUGAUCGGCCACACUGGGACUGAGACACGGCCCAGACUCCUACGGGAGGCAGCAGUAGGGAAUCUGCGGCAAUGGGGGCAACACUGACCGAGCAACGCCGCGUGAGUGAAGAAGGUUGUCGGAUCGUAAAGCUCUGUUGUAAGUCAAGAACGGGUGUGAGAGUGGAAAGUUCACACUGUGACGGUAGCUUACCAGAAAGGGACGGCUAACUACGUG
rnacentral:rRNA from 1 species